UACGGAGGAUGCAAGCGUUAUCCGGAUUUAUUGGGUUUAAAGGGUGCGUAGGUGGACUAAUAAGUCAGUGGUGAAAGCCCGCAGCUUAACUGCGGAACUGCCAUUGAUACUGUUAGUCUUGAGUACAGUUGAGGUGGGCGGAAUGUGUCAUGUAGCGGUGAAAUGCUUAGAUAUGACACAGAACACCGAUUGCGAAGGCAGCUCACUAAGCUGUAACUGACACUGAGGCACGAAAGCGUGGGGAGCAAACAGG
rnacentral:rRNA from 1 species